rnacentral:tRNA from 1 species
AACAACAUUAAGAAGCUAGUAGCGUUAACCUUUUAAGUUAAAGACUGGAACAAACCCUUCCCUUAAUGAU